UCUCAGCCCGAUUAUCCUCUGCAUGUGCAUGCAUACCUUCCCCGACGACGAACUCCGGCGACCUCCGUGGCUUUUGAGCCAUUUUCUGACCAAACCACUUUCAUCUUGGUAAGCUUCAACUCUUUCUCAAGGUCUUCUUCAAGUUCUAACAAGGUUUCAUGCAUGCAUGCGUUUUAGUGCGUUUGAGGGAUGAAUAUCUAACCCACCAUUUUUCCGGCGAGUUUGUAGGACUUCCGUUCAAAACACGGCCAAAUCUCUUUGGUUUGGUCGAGUUUGAAAUCACAGAACUCCUUCCUUAGGUCCAGAGUACUAUGUUCGAGUAUUGCAUGUUCGAAUCUGCUAAGUUCGAGUGAAACUCAAGUUUGGCCGAGAGCCCUAUGCCAUUUUCUGAUCACCUCCGCCUAGCUUUUGGUCCCAAGAGGUAUAAAAAUGUUCUCCUCGUCCUAUGCUUCGUGUUGAUACCUUUUGUGCGUAAAAUGGUUGAGAAAUGACAUGGUUGUGUUAUUUUAGAAUUUUCUAACAAAAAUCGAAUUCUUGUGCAAACAAGGGAAAAUUAAGUUUUAGUGCGCUAAUUAUUAUUAGUUUAGUGAUUAGUUUAAUAACUUCCCGUAUAGGAGAUGAUCACCCGGAGGAGUACCGCGAGCAGAAUAGUUGGAUGGUUAAAACCUAUGUGUAUCUGUGAGUCAGGCUUUUUGUUUUUAUGUGUACACACACACACACACACACACACACACACACACACACACGUAUAUGGAAUUUUUCCCAACAACUGAUUUAAAAUAGUUACCAAAUAAGUUUACAAAAUAAAAAUAAAAAAUCAAAAACUAAAAAUUAAUAAGAGCAAGUCCACCGGAGUGGUUUUUGCCCAACACCCUAUCCAAAUAACAAGCUCUAGCCCGUCGAGCUGCCUGGCACACAGCCCAUGCCAGUCAACAGACCAGCCUAUUUUUGACAGACCCAAGAGCCGACCUAUUUGGUUGGUGCGUGGACUACACGCGCG
rnacentral:lncRNA from 1 species